CCCUCUUAAACAUUUAGUUCUAGGAUAUACUGUAAUCCUUCCUCAAAUGUUUAUAAAUAAAAGAAAGAGAUUACUUUACCGAUUCACCGGUCAUCUUCUUAAUCUUUUCUUUUCUUCUGUUAAAGUUUUUCUUUUAGAUCGAUUUCACUGAUAGAUCAGGACCAAUCGAGUGAUCCUUUGUUUCAGAUUUCAGUCUGAUUUGUUUUUAAACAAAAAAUCUUUUCAAAAAUUAAGAAAUUUUGAAGAUUUUGAUCAAUUUUUCGGUGAAAUUUUUUUUUUUCCUUCUUUAUAAACCAAAUUUUU
rnacentral:lncRNA from 1 species